AACGCACAUUGCGCCCGCCAGUAUUCUGGCGGGCAUGCCUGUUCGAGCGUCAUUUCAACCCUCAAGCCCCCUGUGGACUUGGUGUUGGGGACCGGCGACAAUCACCUGUCGCCGCCCCCUAAAUGAAUUGGCGGCCCCGUCGCGGCCCUCCUCUGCGUAGUAGCAUACACCUCGCAACAGGAGCCCGUCGGUGGCCACUGCCGUAAAACACCCCAAACUUUUUUAGAGUUGACCUCGAAUCAGGUAGGAAUACCCGCUGAACUUAA
rnacentral:misc_RNA from 2 species